UGGACCAGGACCUGGACCUGCUCCUCCUUCGGGGCCGGCUCCGACUCCGCGACGACGCCCGGCUCGAGCCGCUGGAGCGGGACCGAGAGCUCCCAGAAGACGAGCGGCUCCUGGACGCCGAGGACAGGCGGCUGGACCGGCCCGACCGAGACGUCGAGGGGGACUCCUCGUCCUGCGGCGAGCCGGGCCACAGGUCGUUCACGUACUGAGACAUCUCGGCCCGAGGCUGCAAACUUCCCUCCGUCUCUCAGGAUCCCUACCCGGAAACUAGGCGCCUAAGAACAACCGGGGGGGGGGGACCGGAAGUGAGUCGCGCGGUAGGGCCCCAAGCCAAUAAACUAACCGAGCCGCUCCGACUCCCAGAAGUGGCAAUCUCAAAGGCCAGCCUGCCCGCGUCCCCUUCGUGCGUCACCCCCGCCUCACGUACCUGGGACCGACCCCGUCACCAGUAAACUUACCACCACAGGCCGCCAACGCCACACCGAAGGCCAAAGGAAAGGACGAACAGAGGCCUUCCUUUCCGAAGCUGAAGAUGAAGAGAGGCUUUUCAAAGCGGCUCUUGAAAAACCAGAUACUCGACCUCUCCCUCCAACCUCCAGACGCCGACGUCCGCAGACGCGCCUAAAAUACCAGAAGCUGACGCGCAGAGCAUGCGCAGAAACGUUGGAGCGGUGGGCGUGGCUCCCCUCUCGCCCAACCGCCGCCCUUUCUCCUCUCUUCCCGCGCCCCGCCCCACCCCGCCCACCUUGCGCAAAGUCCUGGAUGCGCAGGAGUCUCGUCCCCGGUGGGGGAAGCGGGGGUGGACCUGCUGCAUCCGGGUAUCCGUGGGCAUGUUCUUUGUUGAAACUGGUAGAGUGGCGGAUUUUCGCGCGACCUUCUGCUGGGCGGGUGCGGGCUGGGCCGUUGCCUCCACCCUCUGGGAAGUUGCAGAAUCGGGCUGAACCUCCCUGGACCCUUCACGGCCACUUCUUCCUGACCAGUGCCGGGCUGCGGACUUCCCAGGAUCUCUAUCCAAGAGACAGGAUCAGAGGAACUUUCAACCAAGGGGCCCAUCUAGAGUGAGCUACAAAGAGGAAAAAGAGCUCUGAGUGAUUCUGACAUAGAAGACAUAUUCAUCGAUCUUAUAUCACAGUCUACUCCUUAUUCCUGGACAGUAGGACAUCAUGUGGUAUCCAGUUUUUCCACCACUAAAAACUAUGCCUUGGAACCAGUGUUGGAUUCUGGAAAUGUCAGCAGUUGCAGAGCUCCUCUGAAUGCUCCUAAUCCAUGGUUUCAAGGUCAACAGAGCCAUGUUCAGGAUACAACCUGGAGCAGCUGAUUGCAAUUAAUAUCCCAGCACUAUCUGAGGAGUUACCUCCAAGAUAUGUGACAUGGUAGCUCAGGGGUAAGUUCAGCUCUCUCAGACCAAGAGACAGGAUCAGAGGAGCUUUCAACCAAGGGGCCCAUCUAGAGUGAGCUACAAAGAGGAAAAAGAGCUCUGAGUGAUUCUGACAUAGAGACAUAUUCAUCGAUCUUAUAUCACAGACAAGUUGAUAUCAGACAUCUCUGUUGUUAGAGCGGCUGUAGAAUCAUUAGCUACAGUCACCAGUGCAACAAUCAAGGCAAGUAACACAAAGAUCAAUAAACUCCAGUCUGAUGUGACAUUCCUGUGUUCCAGUAUGUCCCAAGGAACUCCUCCCACUGGUUCAAUCAUCACCCCAUGUGGGUUCAUGCUUCCACUGCCUACAGUUAUUGAGCUGAGCUAUUAUUCCUUUUUUUUUUUAAGAUUUUAUUUAUUUAUUUGAUACAG